GCAGUAGCCGCGGUAAAACGUAGGUGGCAAGCGUUGUCCGGAAUUAUUGGGCGUAAAGGGCUCGCAGGCGGUUUCUUAAGUCUGAUGUGAAAGCCCCCGGCUCAACCGGGGAGGGUCAUUGGAAACUGGGAAACUUGAGUGCAGAAGAGGAGAGUGGAAUUCCACGUGUAGCGGUGGAAUGCGUAGAGAUGUGGAGGAACACCAGUGGCGAAGGCGACUCUCUGGUCUGUAACUGACGCUGAGGAGCGAAAGCGUGGGGAGCGAACAGGAUUAGAUACCCCCGUAGUCCCUGUCUCUUAUAC
rnacentral:rRNA from 1 species